rnacentral:rRNA from 1 species
GACGAACGCUGGCGGCGUGCUUAACACAUGCAAGUCGAACGGAAAGGCCCUGCUUGCAGGGUGCUCGAGUGGCGAACGGGUGAGUAACACGUGGGUGAUCUGCCCCUUACUUUGGGAUAAGCCUGGGAAACUGGGUCUAAUACUGGAUAGGACCAUGCUGUAGGUGGUGUGGUGGAAAGAUUAGUUUCGGUAAGGGAUGAGCUCGCGGCCUAUCAGCUUGUUGGUGGGGUAAUGGCCUACCAAGGCGUCGACGGGUAGCCGGCCUGAGAGGGUGGACGGCCACAUUGGGACUGAGAUACGGCCCAGACUCCUACGGGAGGCAGCAAUGGGGAGUAUUGCACAAUGGGCGCAAGCCUGAUGCAGCGACGCCGCGUGGGGGAUGACGGCCUUCGGGUUGUAAACUCCUUUCAGCCAUGACGAAGCCCUUGUGGUGACGGUUGUGGUAGAAGAAGCACCGGCUAACUACGU